rnacentral:rRNA from 1 species
UAAUACGAAGGGGGCUAGCGUUGUUCGGAAUUACUGGGCGUAAAGCGCGCGCAGGCGGUCUUCCAAGUCAGUGGUGAAAGCCUGGAGCUCAACUCCAGAACUGCCAUUGAAACUGUUAGACUUGAGUACGAGAGAGGUGAGUGGAAUUCCCAGUGUAGAGGUGAAAUUCGUAGAUAUUGGGAAGAACACCGGUGGCGAAGGCGGCUCACUGGCUCGUAACUGACGCUCAGGCGCGACAGCGUGGGGAUCAAACAGG